rnacentral:rRNA from 1 species
UACGAAGGGGGCUAGCGUUGUUCGGAGUUACUGGGCGUAAAGGGCGCGUAGGCGGCGCACCAAGUCAGGCGUGAAAGCCCUGGGCUCAACCCGGGAAUUGCGCUUGAGACUGGUGUGCUUGAGUACGGGAGAGGAUAGUGGAAUUCCCAGUGUAGAGGUGAAAUUCGUAGAUAUUGGGAAGAACACCGGUGGCGAAGGCGGCUAUCUGGACCGUAACUGACGCUGAGACGCGAAAGCGUGGGGAGCAAACAGG